rnacentral:pre_miRNA from 1 species
CUUCUACUCCCUCCAUUCCAAAUUAGUUGACUUGGAUUUAUCUAGAUACGGACGUAUCUAACACUAAAACAUGUCUAUAUAUAUCCGUAUCUAGACAAAUCUAAGUCAACUAAUUUGGAACGGAGGGAGUACGUA